rnacentral:rRNA from 1 species
CGCAUCUGUGCAUGCAGCAUAUCAAUAAGCGGAGGAAAAGGAAACUAACAAGGAUUCCCCUAGUAACGGCGAGUGAAGCGGGAAGAGCUCAAAUUUGAAGAUCUUAAAGGGUUUCCCUUUACGAAUUGUAGUUUAAAGAAGUGUUUUCUGUUGAGGUUUUGGUAAAAGUUCUUUGGAAUAGGACAUCAUAGAGGGUGAGAAUCCCGUAUUUGACCUUUACUUUCAACUUUGUGAUACACUUUCAAAGAGUCGGAUUGUUUGGGAAUGCAGUCCCAAAAUGGGUGGUAAAUUUCAUCUAAAGCUAAAUAUUGGCGAGAGACCGAUAGCGAACAAGUACCGUGAGGGAAAGAUGAAAAGAACUUUGAAAAGAGAGUUAAACAGUACGUGAAAUUGUCAAAAGGGAAGCGUUUGACACCAGUGUUGUUUUACUGAAAAUCAAUUAAAGAACUGUUUAUGCUAAGUUGUUUAGACUUUAUCAGCUAACUGUUUAGUUUUGAGCUUUUCUUUAAUGCACUUUUCAGUUAACAAGUCAACAUCAAUUUCUUUUGCUGUAAAAAAGCUUGAGGAAGGUGGCUUGAGAUUCGUCUUAAGUGUUUAUAGCCUCUUGCCUAUGCAGUCGGAGAGAUUGAGGUCUGCAGCGUAGAUCCUUCGGGGCUAAAUGCAUUUGUGCUAAGUUAUAGCAUUUUAUAGACAACUUGUUGACUAUGAUUUGUCUUGUAGCUUACUCGCUUAUGUUAUUUUACCUACGCUUAGGAUGUUGAACGCGCACAGAGUCUC